CUCGUAGGCGGUUCGUCGCGUCCGGUGUGAAAGUCCAUCGCUUAACGGUGGAUCCGCGCCGGGUACGGGCGGGCUUGAGUGCGGUAGGGGAGACUGGAAUUCCCGGUGUAACGGUGGAAUGUGUAGAUAUCGGGAAAAACACCAAUGGCGAAGGCAGGUCUCUGGGCCGUCACUGACGCUGAGGAGCGAAAGCGUGGGGAGCGAACA
rnacentral:rRNA from 1 species